rnacentral:piRNA from 1 species
CACAUCUCGUUGCACAGAUAUUUGUUCA